rnacentral:rRNA from 1 species
AGUGAACGCUGGCGGCGUGCUUAACACAUGCAAGUCGAACGAGAACGGAUUAUAGCUUGCUAUAAUUGUCAGCUAAGUGGCGCACGGGUGAGUAAUGUAUAGGUAAUAUGCCUCUUACUAAGGGAUAACAAUUGGAAACGAUUGCUAAUACCUUAUAUUUCUUCUUAUCAAAAGAUCAAAACGGAAAGAUUUAUUUGUAAGAGAUUAGCCUGUAUUGUCUCAGUUAGUUGGUGGAGUAAUGGCCUACCAAGACGAUGACGCAUAACUGGUUUGAGAGGAUGAUCAGUCACACUGGAACUGAGACACGGUCCAAACUCCUACGGGAGGCAGCAGUGGGGAAUAUUGCACAAUGGACGAAAGUCUGAUGCAGCAACGCCGCGUGGAGGAUGACACAUUUCGGUGCGUAAACUCCUUUUCUAUAAGAAGAUAAUGACGGUAUUAUAUGAAUAAGCACCGGCUAACUCCGUGCCAGCCGCCGCAGUAA